rnacentral:rRNA from 1 species
AAAGUGAGGAAUAACUCGACCCGGAAAGGGUAGCUAAUGCCGCAUACGAUCUUCGGAUUAAAGGAUUUAUCCGCUUUGGGAGUGGCCUGCGUACGAUUAGAUAGUUGGUGAGGUAAUGGCUCACCAAGUCUACGAUCGUUAACUGGUUUGAGAGGAUGAUCAGUCAGACUGGAACUGAGACACGGUCCAGACUCCUACGGGAGGCAGCAGUGAGGAAUCUUCCACAAUGGACGAAAGUCUGAUGGAGCAACUCCGCGUGCAGGAUGAAGGCCUUCGGGUCGUAAACUGCUUUUAUGAGUGAAGAAUAUGACGGUAACUCAUGAAUAAGGGUCGGCUAACUACGUG